UACGUAGGUGGCGAGCGUUGUCCGGAUUUACUGGGCGUAAAGGGCGUGCAGGCGGUUCGUUAAGUGCAGGGUGAAAGCUCCCGGCUCAACUGGGAGAGGUCCUUGCAUACUGGCGAACUCGAGGGAGGCAGAGGAAAGUGGAAUUCCCGGUGUAGUGGUGAUAUGCGUAGAUAUCGGGAGGAACACCUGUGGCGAAGGCGGCUUUCUGGGCCUUACUUGACGCUGAGACGCGAAAGCGUGGGGAGCGAACCGG
rnacentral:rRNA from 1 species